rnacentral:rRNA from 1 species
GAGACAGUGCUGCAUGGCUGUCGUCAGCUCGUGUUGUGAAAUGUUGGGUUAAGUCCCGCAACGAGCGCAACCCUUAUCCUUUGUUGCCAGCGGUCCGGCCGGGAACUCAAGGAGACUGCCAGUGAUAAACUGGAGGAAGGUGGGAUGACGUCAAGUCAUCAUGGCCCUUACGACCAGGGCUACACACGUGCUACAAUGGCGCAUACAAAGAGAAGCGACCUCGCGAGAGCAAGCGGACCUCAUAAAGUGCGUCGUAGUCCGGAUUGGAGUCUGCAACUCGACUCCAUGAAGUCGGAAUCGCUAGUAAUCGUGGAUCAGAAUGCCACGGUGAAUACGUUCCCGGGCCUU